rnacentral:rRNA from 1 species
UACGGAGGGUGCAAGCAUUGAUCGGAAUUACUGGGCGUAAAGGGCGCGUAGGCGGCCCAUUAAGUCAGAUGUGAAAUUCCGGGGCUCAACCCCGGAGCUGCAUUUGAAACUGAAGGGCUAGAGGCUAGUAAGGGAAAACAGAAUUCCACGUGUAGCGGUGAAAUGCGUAGAUAUGUGGAAGAAUACCGGUGGUGAAGACGGUUUUCUGUGCUAAGCCAGACGCUGAGGCGCGAAAGCUAGGGGAGCAAACAGG